rnacentral:rRNA from 1 species
UAAAAAAAGGUAAGCUACUAAGAGCGAAUGGUGGAUGCCUUGACUGGUAAAGGCGAUGAAGGACGUACUAGACUGCGAUAAGCUACGGGGAGCUGUCAAGAAGCUUUGAUCCGUAGAUUUCCGAAUGGGGCAACCCAAUGUAUAGAGAUAUACAUUACCUAUAUAGGAGCGAACGAGGGGAAUUGAAACAUCUUAGUACCCUCAGGAAAAGAAAUCAAUAGAGAUUGCGUCAGUAGCGGCGAGCGAAAGCGCAAGAGGGCAAACCCAGUGCUUGCACUGGGGGUUGUAGGACUGCAAUGUG